rnacentral:lncRNA from 1 species
UUUUAGGUGGUGCUGAGGAUCGAACCCAGUGACUCACAGGUGCAAGGCCAGUGCUCUACUGCUCAGCCACAGACCCCGCCCCGUCCAGCUCUUUCUUGAAUGCUGUUCUGCUUGAGGCAAAGGGAGGUGUACAUUUCAUACUUGCUAUUGGCAACUAUUUUUAUUUCAGGAAAUUAGCACAGCACCUUCCUUUCUUUCCUUCUGCCUCCUUGGACACAGGGUCAAUGUUACAAUAGCUUCUGGCUUGGACUGUGGCUAGCUUCGGGCUGCCCACCUCAAGGGAAGUCUUGUACCACAGUCCUCAGUGUAGCCCACUCGGCAAACGAAUGUCCUUCUCUGGGCACCUGUGGCCAGAGGAUAGGAAGGCACUCUGAACUCUGGAGAGUGGAGUCCUGGCUGGGCUCUACCCCAAUGUAGACUCCAGCCUGGAGGCUGGUUCUGAGCCUCACCAUUGCUUCCCCUAAGUAACUGGGAUGUGUCUUCCUGACCAGGAGACUUGGUGGCUCCAUCCUAGGGUGGGUGACUGCUCUCAUCACAGGGCCACGCCUCCUGACAUAAAGGUGUCUGUGGACAGGAGCCCCAUAGACAGGCUGCCAGGUGGGCCAGCCCUGUGUGCCCUCAUGGAUAGGGUUGGGUGUGAUAUUUCAAAGUCACAGGUCUGCACCUCCAUGGAAGACCAUGCCUUGAUAUAUGUACUGAUGGGCCAAGUGCUGUGGCACAUACCUGUAAUCCCAGCAGGUUGGGAGGCUGAGGCAGGAGGAUCUCAAGUUCAAAGCCAGCCUUAGCAACUUAGUGAGGCCCUAAGCAACUUAGUGAGACUGUGCCAAAAUAAAAAAAUAAAAAAAAUGAAGAAGGUCUGGGGGUAUGGUUCAGUGGUUAAGCACUCCUGGGUUCAAUCCCUGACACCAAAAAAAAAAAAAUUAAGUACCACAGGACUUUCAAUGUGGGUCCAUCUGCCUCAUAGCCAGAAUGCAAGCUACCCUCCUGGUACCUGGGUGGCUUCACCGUGGAUAGAAUGUCCCACGUUUGAGCAGGAAUUAGGAGGAGAUAUGCUCCAGGAACACAUCUCUUGGCUCUGGAACAGCUGAGCCACCCAGGUGGCUUCCUUUUGUGUCCACCUACACGGGCUUCCUCCUGGACCCCCUUUCUGACCCCUCCUGGACCUGCCCAGCCAAAGCUUUCCUGCUCAGACUCCAGUUGUAGGAAGAGCCAGGAGCUGCCCGACUGGCCUUUGAAGAACCCAAGUCCCCCAGCCCCUCCCCAGAAGCCAGGAGCUGCAUUCACGCUUCAUGAUUCUCACUCAACACGUAUUAAUGUGGACCCACACAGGCGGGCUCCAGGGAUUUCCAGACUCUGAGAAACAUCUGUGGAUGAAGCUUAGAUGCCAGUGGGAGAAGACAGAAAUCAACAGCUACAUACACAGGUGAAUCCAGCAGCCGGUGCCACAGGAAAGGCUGGAGAGUCACACGGAAGCAGGACUCAGGGACAGAGAGCCCGGGAGAAGAGGAGAGCGUCAACAGGCCUUCAAGGUAGGCUUGGCUGGGGAGGUUUGUGAGUGGGUUAACGGAGGUGAGGGGAUCAGUGUGGGGCAGCUGGGGAAGGAGUACCACAGAGGGGAGAGCCCUGCAAAGACGGGGGGGGGGCAGGGGAGGGACGUGCUGGCGGCUGGAAGGGUGGCAGGGAAGUCAGCUGUGUGGAGCUGUGUGAGCCAGGCAGAGGACAGACAGCAGGCGAGCUGCGGGGGGUCCUUGAAGGCUGCGGGUGUGCGUGUCGGUGACUCUCCUCCUGACCAGGGAGGAAGCACUGGUGACUUGGAGCCAAGGAGGGCUUGAGUCUGGUGCAGGGUUCACAGGAUCUCUGGCUCCUGCAUGGAGAGUAGGCAGGGAAGGAGUGGGGUUAGGAGCAGGAGACUGGCUGGAGGGCUUUUAGUGAUAGGGGACAGAUGAUGACAGCUGGGGGGGGAGGCCAGUGCUGAGAGGUGGCCCCUGGCCUAGAUGCGCAGUGAAGGUGGAAAGUAGAAGGAGUCACAGGACGGCUCCAGGGUGUUUGGUCUGAAAAACUGGAAGGUUGGAGGUGUCAGUGCAAACAGCCUGGGAGCCUGUGGGCGGGGGCCUGGCUCUGGGACCAGCCGCUCAGGUCAGCUGGGUUGAGGCACCUGCAGCAGGUCUGGCCUGUGCCCAGAUUCACUCUCAGAGGAAAACCUCAUCCCGAAAUCUGUAAACCCUUCUCCAAUAACAAUAGCAUGAUAUUAAUUUCCCCAUAGAAUUUGCAUCAUUACAGAAAUAAAAAGUAGUAACCAGAUUUUUAUACAUAAAAUAUGUUAAAAUUAUCUAAUACUGUGACAUGCCAAUGGCUUUUUAUCAAUAGUCAAAUUACAUUAAUAACAUUCAGCUAAGGAACAGUAUUUACACAAUAGUGGAUACUUAUUUCAACCAGGUUUCUGAAGUAUAAGAAAAGCAGAAAGGAAAGUAAUUUUCCAAUGGAUUUUAUUCAAUUGAUUCAGAGAGUGAACCAGGUGCUCCUAUUAAAAAAUCUAUUCCCCAUGGCAAGUGCAUUAAUAUAUUCCUAAUUUCAGUGUUUAUAUAUCUGAAUUGUAUUGUACGUGUAUCAGUCAGUGUUUUCCAGAGUCACGGAAUCAAUAAGAUGGAUGGAUGGAUGGAUGGAUGGAUGGAUGGAUGGAUGGAUGGACACACAGACGGGUGGACAGAUGGAUGAGAUUUAUUUUAAUCAGUUAGCUCGCUCAAUUGUGAGAGUCAAGGGCCAGUGAGCAGGCUGGAAGCUCAGGCAGGAUUUCUGUGUGCCAGGCUUGAGGCAAAAUGCUCUCUUCUCAGGGAAAAAUUUUGCUCUGAAGGCCUUCAACUGUUUGGACAAGGCCCACCCAUAUUAUCAAGGAUAAUCAGUUUUACUUUAAGUCAACUGGUUAUAAAUGUUAAUGACCUGACAACUCCUUCCCAGCAGCACCUAGCUUAGUGUUUCACAAACAACUGGGCACUGAAGGCUCGCCAAAGUGAAACAUAGAAUCAUCCCGGGAACCCUUACAAGUAUGUCCCACCCUUUCAAAAAUUCAGAACUUGAAAACAUCAUGAUGUACACAAAAUAAUUUACUAAAUUUUGAUCAGAGGGACUCAUCAUAAGAGUUAGUGGCACUCUGCACAAGUGGGUGCAUUGGAGAAGUGCAGAGACCCAGCCUAGGACCCCAGGAAGGCUGGCAUGCUUCCCCUGCAGAAGGGACCCUGCAGGGUGCACAGCCCAUGGUGGCUCCACUGUGUCCAGGGCACAGCCAGGGGCCUGGGGGAGGUGCCAGAGGCCCCCUGGGUUUGGAGGAGGCUUUCUGCCCAGGAGAAACAAGGGUAAGGAGGCCAAGGUUCUACCCUGCAGCACCCCAGUCAGAGGGGGAAGCUGCCAGAAAUCCCCCGGCCCCUGGGGGGGGGGAGGGGUUCUGGGAGGGGGAGGUUCUGGAGGCUGAGCUUCCAUGCUGAGGCUGAGGCUGAGGCUGGGAAGGAGCAGGGAGAGGUCUUCCUGCUGCUCUGGGAAGUUGAGGGGGCUUGGGAGGAGGUGCCCCCAGGAAAUCUUGAGCAUUCUUUAGCACCUUCACAGAGAUCAAACCAAACAUCCUGAGGCUGUUGGUCACAGACCGAAAUGAUGGCAGGGGUGUGUGGUCUGAAAACAGACGCCAGUUCCUCCCCGCGGGGUAAAUAACGGAAGAGUCCAAGCUGAGCGGCUCGGAGCCCUAGCCCCAGCUGCCUCCCUCUCACCCUUUCCUGGGUUUCUGAUUUAAGGCCAUCCGAAUUAUCUCCAAGAGUGUUAUAUAACCUCUUUAAAGCAAUUAAGCACCAGUGCAAGGGCACACGCCUGUAAUCCCAAUGACUCUAGAGGCUGAUACAGGAGGAUUGCCAAGUUCAAGAAGAGCCUGGGCAAGCUAGUGAGGCCCGAUCUCAAAAUUUAAAAAAAUUUGAGAAUUUAGCUCAGUGGUAAAAGCACCUUGGAUUUAAUCCCCAGCGCCCAAUCCAACCCCCCUCAAAAGAAAAACAAAGGCAAAAAACCAAUUAAGCACAUUUAAUAUUUAGUAUGAUCAGGCAGCUUAAGGUCGAGCUAGUCAGAGGAAUGUAAUUAAAAAUCAAACAAGCAACCAUGGCAUUCACCAUUUCCAAACAGGACGAGAGUCCUCCGUGCAGCGUGAAGCGGGGGGGAUGCCAGAUGAGUGAGCUCAGCGCCUUGAAGAGCCAACCAAGGCUCGUUCCAGACACUGGCAAGGCCAGGAGAGAUGUCUGAGCGCACAGUGAGUGCUUGGUCCUUCGUCCGUGAGGAGAAUUAAUGACCUCAUUAUCACGCUGUGGUGAUUUAUCAAGUGUCAUCUUUGCUGAGCAAGCCCUGGGGACCUUGGAAAGCCACGAGCCAGUGCAUGUGGAGACAAAUAUGUGACUAGGAGUCUGGCUAGUCCACAGAUGGGACUCUAGGCCACAGCGGUGGGAUAAUAGGGAGGACUGACUUGGAAGGCCUUUCCAAUAUGGCAACAUGGCAGGCGAGACAGGAGGGCAGGUACAGCGGGUAUCCAGA